rnacentral:rRNA from 1 species
ACUGGCCCCGGGUUUCACUCCAACCCUGUGACAUACCACUUGUUGCCUCGGCGGAUCAGCCCGCUCCCGGUAAAACGGGACGGCCCGCCAGAGGACCCCUAAACUCUGUUUCUAUAUGUAACUUCUGAGUAAAACCAUAAAUAAAUCAAAACUUUCAACAACGGAUCUCUUGGUUCUGGCAUCGAUGAAGAACGCAGCAAAAUGCGAUAAGUAAUGUGAAUUGCAGAAUUCAGUGAAUCAUCGAAUCUUUGAACGCACAUUGCGCCCGCCAGUAUUCUGGCGGGCAUGCCUGUUCGAGCGUCAUUUCAACCCUCAAGCACAGCUUGGUGUUGGGACUCGCGUUAAUUCGCGUUCCCCAAAUUGAUUGGCGGUCACGUCGAGCUUCCAUAGCGUAGUAGUAAAACCCUCGUUACUGGUAAUCGUCGCGGCCACGCCGUUAAACCCCAACUUCUGAAUGUUGACCUCGGAUCAGGUAGGAAUACCCGCUGAACUUAAGCAUAUCAAUAACCCGGAGGAA